AAACACUCUAGAAUCCUCAAACCCCUUAGCAACAACCCAGAACACCCUAAAACUGUAGAAUACUCAAACCCCCUUAGCAACAACCCAGAACACCCUAGAAACACUCUAGAAUCAUCAAACACCCUUAGCAACAACUCAGAACACCCUAGAAACACUCUUGAAUCAUCAAACCCCCUUAGCAACAACCCAGAACACCCUAGAAACACUCUAGAAUCCUCAAACCCCCUUAGCAACAACCCAGAACACCCUAGAAACACUCUAGAAUCCUCAAACCCCCUUAGCAACAACCCAGAACACCCUAGAAACACUCUAGAAUCCUCAAACCCCCUUAGCAACAACCCAGAACACCCUAGAAACACUCUAGAAUCCUCAAACCCCCUUAGCAACAACCCAGAACACCCUAGAAACACUCUAGAAUCCUCAAACCCCCUUAGCAACAACCCAGAACACCCUAGAAACACUCUAGAAUCCUCAAACCCCCUUAGCAACAACCCAGAACACCCUAGAAACACUCUAGAAUCCUCAAACCCCCUUAGCAACAACCCAGAACACCCUAGAAACACUCUAGAAUCCUCAAACCCCCUUAGCAACAACCCAGAACACCCUAGAAACACUCUAGAAUCCUCAAACCCCCUUAGCAACAACCCAGAACACCCUAGAAACACUCUAGAAUCCUCAAACCCCCUUAGCAACAACCCAGAACACCCUAGAAACACUCUAGAAUCCUCAAACCCCCUUAGCAACAACCCAGAACACCCUAGAAACACUCUAGAAUCCUCAAACCCCCUUAGCAACAACCCAGAACACCCUAGAAACACUCUAGAAUCCUCAAACCCCCUUAGCAACAACCCAGAACACCCUAGAAACACUCUAGAAUCCUCAAACCCCCUUAGCAACAACCCAGAACACCCUAGAAACACUCUAGAAUCCUCAAACCCCCUUAGCAACAACCCAGAACACCCUAGAAACACUCUAGAAUCCUCAAACCCCCUUAGCAACAACCCAGAACACCCUAGAAACACUCUAGAAUCCUCAAACCCCCUUAGCAACAACCCAGAACACCCUAGAAACACUCUAGAAUCCUCAAACCCCCUUAGCAACAACCCAGAACACCCUAGAAACACUCUAGAAUCCUCAAACCCCCUUAGCAACAACCCAGAACACCCUAGAAACACUCUAGAAUCCUCAAACCCCCUUAGCAACAACCCAGAACACCCUAGAAACACUCUAGAAUCCUCAAACCCCCUUAGCAACAACCCAGAACACCCUAGAAACACUCUAGAAUCCUCAAACCCCCUUAGCAACAACCCAGAACACCCUAGAAACACUCUAGAAUCCUCAAACCCCCUUAGCAACAACCCAGAACACCCUAGAAACACUCUAGAAUCCUCAAACCCCCUUAGCAACAACCCAGAACACCCUAGAAACACUCUAGAAUCCUCAAACCCCCUUAGCAACAACCCAGAACACCCUAGAAACACUCUAGAAUCCUCAAACCCCCUUAGCAACAACCCAGAACACCCUAGAAACACUCUAGAAUCCUCAAACCCCCUUAGCAACAACCCAGAACACCCUAGAAACACUCUAGAAUCCUCAAACCCCCUUAGCAACAACCCAGAACACCCUAGAAACACUCUAGAAUCCUCAAACCCCCUUAGCAACAACCCAGAACACCCUAGAAACACUCUAGAAUCCUCAAACCCCCUUAGCAACAACCCAGAACACCCUAGAAACACUCUAGAAUCCUCAAACCCCCUUAGCAACAACCCAGAACACCCUAGAAACACUCUAGAAUCCUCAAACCCCCUUAGCAACAACCCAGAACACCCUAGAAACACUCUAGAAUCCUCAAACCCCCUUAGCAACAACCCAGAACACCCUAGAAACACUCUAGAAUCCUCAAACCCCCUUAGCAACAACCCAGAACACCCUAGAAACACUCUAGAAUCCUCAAACCCCCUUAGCAACAACCCAGAACACCCUAGAAACACUCUAGAAUCCUCAAACCCCCUUAGCAACAACCCAGAACACCCUAGAAACACUCUAGAAUCCUCAAACCCCCUUAGCAACAACCCAGAACACCCUAGAAACACUCUAGAAUCCUCAAACCCCCUUAGCAACAACCCAGAACACCCUAGAAACACUCUAGAAUCCUCAAACCCCCUUAGCAACAACCCAGAACACCCUAGAAACACUCUAGAAUCCUCAAACCCCCUUAGCAACAACCCAGAACACCCUAGAAACACUCUAGAAUCCUCAAACCCCCUUAGCAACAACCCAGAACACCCUAGAAACACUCUAGAAUCCUCAAACCCCCUUAGCAACAACCCAGAACACCCUAGAAACACUCUAGAAUCCUCAAACCCCCUUAGCAACAACCCAGAACACCCUAGAAACACUCUAGAAUCCUCAAACCCCCUUAGCAACAACCCAGAACACCCUAGAAACACUCUAGAAUCCUCAAACCCCCUUAGCAACAACCCAGAACACCCUAGAAACACUCUAGAAUCCUCAAACCCCCUUAGCAACAACCCAGAACACCCUAGAAACACUCUAGAAUCCUCAAACCCCCUUAGCAACAACCCAGAACACCCUAGAAACACUCUAGAAUCCUCAAACCCCCUUAGCAACAACCCAGAACACCCUAGAAACACUCUAGAAUCAUCAAACCCCCUUAGCAACAACCCAGAACACCUUAGCCACACUCUAGAAACCCCUCUCUAA
ensembl:lncRNA